rnacentral:lncRNA from 1 species
UGUAGAGGUUGUAGAGCAACAUAAAAUUAACAAUCACAAUAAUUGAAGAAAUGUAGACAAAGUGCUACAAUAGUGGUGGCAGCGAUGUUGUUUUCGGAUGGAUCUCGCCGGCCACAACUUCGGCGAGACAGCCAUGGUGUUGUGAUUACAUCGCAAGAGAGGGGCGGUGCGUGGUGCACUUGGUAGUUGGAAACUCGCCUACUGGCAGCCAAAUCCGGCAAGGCA